rnacentral:lncRNA from 1 species
AUGCAUCAUUAUCUCAUUUCCUUGUCACAUCCCGAAUUGUUUUUAGAGUCUGUUGGGCUCUCCACAGGCAAUGAAAACACUGUGAGCACAGGCCUUGAUGUCUGGACCCUUCAACAGACCUUGGAACCCACUUCACCUUCCAGGCUGGAUGCUCUUGUUGCACAAGGAUUUCCUGAAGGUUGGACUGUAAUUUGUGAAGAUACUGGAUGACAGGUCUUUGUCUGCCUGGCUGUUAAAAAGACAAGGUUAGCAUUCAAAAGGUAAUAAAGCAAGAAAGAUCCUCUCCUUCA